CUGCAAACUCAGGCACUGUGGCAUUUUCUCAAGGCUACAUCCCUAUCACCUGGUACAGGUGGUAAGCCCCAGUACUAAUAGAAGCCUCUAAUGGAGGUACCACCAACAGGACCGACCAUUGGCCCAUGGAGAAGUCAGAGGGAGAGGGACCUGUAUGGCCCACACUGAUCUAAUUUCUGCUGAGGAGCACGGUGCUGCUAUGAGCUCUUGGGCUAAAGCUGGCUUUGUGGGGCAAUUCAGGAUGGGCUAUAAAAUCCUGGGAUCCUGCAAGGGCGUGAUGUUCUCCCAAAUGAAAACCUACACACGAUGAAACUAAUAAACAGGGUAGGCAAUAAAUA